CUACGUGCCAGCAGCCGCGGUAAUACGUAGGUGGCAAGCGUUGUCCGGAAUUAUUGGGCGUAAAGCGCGCGCAGGCGGAUUGGUCAGUCUGUCUUAAAAGUUCGGGGCUUAACCCCGUGAUGGGAUGGAAACUGCCAAUCUAGAGUAUCGGAGAGGAAAGUGGAAUUCCUAGUGUAGCGGUGAAAUGCGUAGAUAUUAGGAAGAACACCAGUGGCGAAGGCGACUUUCUGGACGAAAACUGACGCUGAGGCGCGAAAGCCAGGGGAGCGAACGGGAUUAGAUACCCCGGUAGUCCUGGCCGUAAACGAUGGGUACUAGGUGUAGGAGGUAUCGACCCCUUCUGUGCCGGAGUUAACGCAAUAAGUACCCCGCCUGGGGAGUACGACCGCAAGGUUGAAACUCAAAGGAAUUGACGGGGGCCCGCACAAGCGGAGGAACAUGUGGUUUAAUUCGAUGCAACGCGAAGAACCUUACCUACUCUUGACAUCCAU
rnacentral:rRNA from 1 species